rnacentral:rRNA from 1 species
UACGUAGGGUCCGAGCGUUGUCCGGAGUUACUGGGCGUAAAGCGCGCGCAGGCGGCUCGGCAAGCAUGGCGUGAAAGCCCCCCGGCUCAACCGGGGAGAGUCGUCGUGGACUGCCGGGCUUGAGGGCGGCAGGGGUUGGUGGAAUUCCCGGUGUAGUGGUGAAAUGCGUAGAGAUCGGGAGGAACACCCGUGGCGAAGGCGGCCAACUGGGCCGGCCCUGACGCUGAGGCGCGAAGGCGUGGGGAGCGAACGGGG